rnacentral:lncRNA from 1 species
UGCAGGUUCUCAUUUAUCUCAAACAGGCCACAGCUCCUUCACUUUCUGUACCAUUUGCUAGUUACCCUAAUCCCUUCAGCAUUUUCUUUUGCCCUGCUAUUUCACAGAAGAGUUUAUAUACUGUAAAUUGCUUUCUGUCUCCCUUCCCACUAAGUUACCAUCUGUUAUGCAUUAUCCUCAAAUGCUAUUUGCAGUCCAACAAACUUCCACUAAAAAAGUAUGGGCCAUUUCCCCUAAUUUUCUUCUUCACUCUAGAUUUGGCUCUGUGUAAAGCAUAUGUACAGCUCUUCAAUCCUUGUUCAGAGGUAAAUCUGCUACCUCAAGGCUUUAACUUUCAUUUCUUUCAUCUGUCACUCAGUUUCCUGAAUGUUUCCUUCUCUUUUUUUUUUUUCCAGGAUGAAAAGGUGAGGAAUAUGCCUACAGUCUCUCUGCAAGGAUCUGCAACCUCAUCCAGCCUCUUCUAUUGCCAUCAAGUCAGAUAUCAAGGGAGGCAUCCUUUCAGCUUGUGCUGUGAACUCACUUGCCCACUCAGCUACUUCAGUGAAUGUGACAAGCUGCCAGGACAAGUAUAAUGUGCUUCACCCACCAACUGUCCUUCUUAUGCUCAUUUGCACAUGGAAGAAGAAACAGGAGCCCUUUGGAUCUAUAUAACUGAAGUCCAACAAUUCACAUUUUCCCUUCAACUGGAAAUUCAGAUGUUUUCUUUUUCAUGGCCAUGAGGAGAUCAUCCACAAACAGCACUUUAUAGAGCUGUCAGCACCACCAACAUUAGAGCCUCUACCCUGGGGAAGGGAAACACUGAAAGUUCCCUCAGAGCACGCCACAUCUUUAAUACAAAUCUGCUAAAUAGAUAUUUUCAUAAUGAAUUAUUUUCUGAUGAAUGAAUAAGCUUUUUCCAAUGAGUCAGUUGAAAAACAACUUUAAGUGAUGCGCCAAGAAAAUUGUGUUAUGAACAAUCCCACAAUUAACACCAGAAGGUUAGAGUGUUUUAAAUUUUCCUCCCUGACUUUUGAAACUAUAUUUGAAUUUUUCUCUCUUGAGUUAUCCCUACAGGGCAGAAGUAAUGUAACAAUGCAUUUCCACCCUUCUAAAGGUUUUCAAGCAAUGACAUUUACUCUGACCUAUGGAAGGGUACCAUACCUCUUAAUUGCACUUCAGCUUUUGAGCUGUUUAGGAAUUUAUUUCUCUAUUAAUUUUUUUCAAUAAUUGUAAAACUAUUAAGAAAUAUAAAGACAAAUUAUUUUUCUUUUAUUUUUGAACUUCUCUAUUCAUAAUCACUUUGGAGUUGCUAAAUGCAACCAGAGCAGUCUAGCAAGUAAUUCUAAGGUUCAUUAAGACAGCAGCUCAGUGGUGUGUUACUUUUAUCUUUUGCAAUCAGGACAUUGCUUUUUGGUUGUUUUCCUGUUGCACAUUUACUAUUGCCCAUAGGUAUAUUUGUUUAAAGAUGCAUGUAAAUCAUACCUGCACUCAUGUAAAAUAAACAUCUAAGGGGAAUAGUCA